rnacentral:lncRNA from 1 species
CUGAGAAUGAAUGGGCAGCUCAAGUCACUUCUUCAGUUUUAUAGCCACGGAAGCCGCACACGGUGAUUUAUAAUCCUGGAACAGCUGCUGUCUCCGGGGGACAUGGAUCGAUGUUGAGGAACAGACCCAUCAACGAUGCAGACAAGGACAGUGUUUCCUCUAGGCAAGGGGUGCUUCUGCUCCUCUCCCAAGAUGUCUUGCCACUGUGCAGGUGUAUGUGCAUGUGUGUGUGUACUUUCUCCAUCCUAGAAAUUCAAUUUCUGCCACUGCCUUUGUUUGCUGGCCCCUAUGUAUCCUCAGAAUCCCACACAGUGAAGGCUGCGAGAUCCAAGGAGCAGGAUCCAUGCCACAUUCUCAGCCUGGAUGGCACACAGAAGAGAGCAAAUCACAUGAACAUGGAGGGUGAGCUCCAGCUUCAGGACAGCACCCCUGUUAACAUAUGUUUGACACACAUUAAUACACUUG